AAGUCCCGUAACGAGCGCAACCCUAUCCUUAUUUGCCAGCGAGUAAUGUCGGGAACUCUAAGGAGACUGCCGGUGACAAACCGGAGGAAGGUGGGGACGACGUCAAGUCAUCAUGGCCCUUACGGGUAGGGCUACACACGUGCUACAAUGGCAAGUACAAAGGGUUGCAAUACUGCGAAGUGGAGCCAAUCCCAUAAAGCUUGCCUCAGUCCGGAUUGGAGUCUGCAACUCGACUCCAUGAAGUCGGAAUCGCUAGUAAUCGUGGAUCAGAAUGCCACGGUGAAUACGUUCCCGGGCCUU
rnacentral:rRNA from 1 species